ensembl:lncRNA
UGAGAGGAGGGGUGGGAAAGUUUGAGAGAGAGAGAGGCAACAUCAUUGAAAGAGAAGAUAGUCCGAGUGAGUGUUUGAGAGAGAAUAACUGAAAACAUUUAGGCUGAAAGGGGAGGGACUGCCUAGUCCUUUUUCAAACAAGUUUGUGGAGAAACUUGGAGAAGCUCUUUGGCUGCUUGGAAGAAGAGGCAAGGGGCUAUGUUAAGUGAGAGAGCAGCUCGGAGGCAGGGGUAGGGGUGCAAAACCGAAGGAGAAAGGGGAUAAAUGACAUUUUGAUCUAAAGGAAAUCAUGCGAGUGAAUGCUGCCUCAUCCAGUGUCAGAUUUCACAAAAUGAAAAACCAGUGCAAGAGCACUUCUACAGGGCUCAUCCAGCUGAGAAAGGGCAGGGGAAAAAUACAGCGAAUGGAGGAUGCUUUUCUUCUGGUUCAUUUUCAUGCCAGCCAGGUAGGCUAUAUUCCUGUUUUAAAGAGAAGCAAUGUGCUUAAUAUUAGGAAAGUUGAGAAAUAAAUAUAGUAGGCCUAGCCUAUAGAAACCUGAUGGGAUCCUCCUCUUUAAAAAAAACAUACUUUUCUCAUGCACAUAUAAACGUUAGCCUAUAGAAAGGUUGCGCAACAUGAGCUCAUUGGCUCUCAUGAAGUGUUUGAUUACAAUUCCUCUUACAUUUUCAUUGAUGUCAGGGUGAUGAUAGGGACAAUAGAGUGCUGAGUACCAGGCAGUUCGUUUGGUAGGCUACUAAUGACCACCAGCAGCAUCAGAACUUGGAAAAUCCAAAUUAGCCUACUGAUUAGAAUACAGUAUAUACUGUAAAUAUGAAGUGGGUAAAACAGCAUGUAAACAUUAUUAAAGUGACCAGUGUUCAAUGACUCUAUGUACAGUGCAUUUGGGAAGUGUUCUGACUUUUUCCACAUGUUGUUGCAUUACACCUUUAUUCUAAAAUAUAUAUAUUUUUUUAUCCCUCAUCAAUUUACACACAAUUCCCCAUAAUGACAAAGCAAAAAAAUAAAUAUAUUAAAUAAAAAUGUUAAAAAUGAAAUAUCACAUUUACAUAAGUAUUCAGACCCUUUAUUCGGUACUUUGUUGAAGCACUUUUGGUAGCGAUUACAGCUUAGAGUUUUCCUGGGUAUUACGCUACAAGCUUGGCACACCUGUAUUUGGGGAGUUUCUCCCAUUCUUCUCUGCAGAUCCUCUCAAGCUCUGUCAGGUUGGAUGAGGACUGUCACUGCACAGCUAUUAUCAGGUCUCUCCAGAGAUGUUCGAUCGGGUUCAAGUCCGGGCUCUAGCUGGGCCACUCAAGGACAUUCAGAGACUUGUCCCGAAGCCGUGCCUGCGUUGUCUUGGCUGGGUGCUUGUCUCGCCCCAGUCUGAGGUCCUGAGUGCUCUGGAGCAGGUUUUCAAUAAGGAUCUCUCUGUACUUUGCGCCAUUCAUCUUUCCCUCGAUCCUGACUAGUCAUCCCCACAGUAUAACUUCUUCCUGUGAAAUUGCAGAGCGCCAAAUUCAAAAUACAGAAAUACUCAUAAUAAACAUUAAUAAAAUAUACAAGUGUUCUACAUCAGUUUAAAGAUUAACUUCUUGUUAAUCCAGCCACUGUGUCAGUUUUCAAAAAGGCUUUACGGCGAAAGCAUACCGUGCGAUUAUCUGAGGAUGGUGCAUCUGUAGAAGUUUGUGAGGUCUUAGGGACCAAGCCGCUGUUGCGCCUUCUUCACCAAACUGUCGCACACAUGCCAAGGAACUUGAAGCUUUUCACCCUCUCCACUGCGGCCCCGUUGAUGUGGAAGGGGGCAUUCUCUCUCUGCUGUCUCCUGUAGUCAACGAUCAGCUCCUUCAUUUUGUUGACGUUGAAGGAGAGAUUAUUUUCCUGGAACAUUGUUGGCAAUCAGGCCUACCACUGUUGUGUCGACCGCAAAGUUGCUGAUUGAGUUUGAGACUUGCGUGGCCACGCAUGGGUGAACAGGGAAUACAGGAGCGUGCUGAGUGUUGAGGAUCAGCAUGGCAGAGGUGUUGUUGCCUACCUUCACCACCUGGGGUCAGCCCAUCAGGAAGUCCAGGACCCAGUUGCACAGGGCGGGGUUCAGACCUAGGGUCCUGAGCUUAGUGAUGAUCUUGGAGGACACUAUGGUGUUGAAGGCUGAGCUAUAGUCGAUGAACAGCAGUCUUACAUAAGUAUUUAUAUUGUCCAGAUGGGAUAGGGCAGUGUUCAGUGCAAUGGUGAUUGCGUCCUCCAUGGAUCAGUUAGGGUGGUAUGCAAAUUGUAGUGGGUCUAGGGUGUCAGAUAAGGUGGAGUUGAUAUGAUCCUUAACUAGCAGUCCAACUCUGCUAACUGGACUGUGUCGGUCUGUCUGUAUCUC